GGAGUCCAACUGUCUAUUGUUUGGAGGGGUACCUUUCCCGCCAUCGACCAUUUCUCUCAACGAGCAAAUUUAGGGCACAUUCUUUCCGCUCCUCACCACUUCCAUUGAAAGUUUCUGGUGCCUUUAAUUUUACUGAGGAGUUGCGAAAACGCUAUCGUGAUGUCUGGAAGAAAAGAAACUGUUCUGGAUUUGGCUAAGUUUGUAGACAAGGGCGUCCAAGUGAAGCUUACCGGCGG